rnacentral:rRNA from 1 species
ACGGGGUGCAGCAGGCGCGAAACCUCCGCAAUACACGAAAGUGUGACGGGGUUACCCAAAGUGUUCUAUUUAGAACUGUGGUAGGUGAGUAAUGUCCCCUACUAGAAAGGAGAGGGCAAGGCUGGUGCCAGCCGCCGCGGUAAAACCAGCUCUUCAAGUGGUCGGGAUAAUUAUUGGGCUUAAAGUGUCCGUAGCCGGUUUAGUAAGUUCCUGGUAAAAUCGGGUAGCUUAACUAUCUAUAUGCUAGGAAUACUGCUAUACUAGAGGGCGGGAGAGGUCUGAGGUACUACAGGGGUAGGGGUGAAAUCUUAUAAUCCUUGUAGGACCACCAGUGGCGAAGGCGUCAGACUGGAACGCGCCUGACGGUGAGGGACGAAAGCCAGGGGAGCGAACCGGAUUAGAUACCCGGGUAGUCCUGGCCGUAAACGAUGCAUACUAGGUGAUGGCACGGCCAUGAGCCGUGUCAGUGCCGUAGGGAAACCGUUAAGUGUGCCGCCUGGGAAGUACGGUCGCAAGGCUAAAACUUAAAGGAAUUGGCGGGGGAGCACCACAAGGGGUGAAGCCUGCGGUUCAAUUGGACUCAACGCCGGAAAACUUACCAGGGGAGACAGCAGUAUGACGGUCAGGUUGACGACCUUACCUAACGAGCUGAGAGGAGGUGCAUGGCCGUCGCCAGUUCGUGCCGUGAGGUAUCCUGUUAAGUCAGGCAACGA